rnacentral:rRNA from 1 species
CCUACGGGAGGCAGCAGUGGGGAAUAUUGGGCAAUGGGCGCAACCCUGACCCAGCAACGCCGCGUGAAUGAAGAAGGCUUUCGGGUUGUAAACUUCUUUUCUCAGGGACGAAUCAAGUGACGGUACCUGAGGAAUAAGCCACGGCUAACUCCGGGCCAGCAGCCGCGGUAAUACGUAGGUGGCAAGCGUUAUCCGGAUUUACGGGGUGUAAAGGGCGUGUAGGCGGGACUGCAAGUCAGAUGUGAACACCAUGGGCUCAACCUGUGGACUGCAUUUGAAACUGUAGUUCUUGAGUCAUGGAGAGGCAGACGGAAUUCCUAGUGUAGCGGUGAAAUGCGUAGAUAUUAGGAGGAACACCAGUGGCGAAGGCGGUCUGCUGGACAGCAACUGACGCUGAGGCGCGAAAGCGUGGGGAGCAAACAGGAUUAGAUACCCGAGUAGUC